rnacentral:rRNA from 1 species
GACGAACGCUGGCGGCGUGCUUAACACAUGCAAGUCGAACGGAAAGGCCCUGCUUUUGUGGGGUGCUCGAGUGGCGAACGGGUGAGUAACACGUGAGUAACCUGCCCUUGACUUUGGGAUAACUUCAGGAAACUGGGGCUAAUACCGGAUAGGAGCUCCUGCUGCAUGGUGGGGGUUGGAAAGUUUCGGCGGUUGGGGAUGGACUCGCGGCUUAUCAGCUUGUUGGUGGGGUAGUGGCUUACCAAGGCUUUGACGGGUAGCCGGCCUGAGAGGGUGACCGGCCACAUUGGGACUGAGAGACGGCCCAGACUCCUACGGGAGGCAGCAGUGGGGAAUAUUGCACAAUGGGCGGAAGCCUGAUGCAGCAACGCCGCGUGCGGGAUGCCGGCCUUCGGGUUGUAAACCGCUUUCGCCUGUGACGAAGCGUGAGUGACGGUAAUGAGUAAAGAAGCACCGGCUAACUACGUG